GUGCUGCAGCGUUCGGUUCAUUUUGCUUCAGUCUCUUCAGGUGGGCGGUUCCGGAGAGAGGCCAGCUGCAGGCUAUUCCAAAUCAACCGGGCCAGUGUAUAUAAGGAGCUGAGCGAUCACUUCACUUCGCCGGAUGAUGACUCACUUUGGGAACUUCCACCAUUGAUCAACACAGCAAUAACCAGGAUUUCACCUCCGAGCCUGAUCUCACCCUCCAACUGGACCGACCCGCUCUCCCACCGCUCACCCCCCUCGGAUAUUGGAUUAUCACCUACGCAGCUCACCCCAGUCCUGACUACCCUCCCCAAGUUCUUUGAUCUCAGUCCAACAACCCAACCCCGGAGCUGUACUCGGCAUCACCGCCACGUCUGGCGGUGCACCUUUAGUUUCCCUUUCUACUUACCCUCGUCUCCUAGUGUGAUUCUGCAUGUCUUGGGUCAGGAAACUCCCCACGAACAUGUCAGCAGAAGCGCUAAAAGCCUUUCUUAUAAAAAUAAAAGAUGUUUGCGCCAUCGCCAGACGCCUUUUGUGAUUACAGCUAAAAAAAACUACAGCGUCGUGCGGUACAGUCGGAAUUUCUGUCUUUUUUCUGAUUGGUUAUUUUUGAGCUGCCUAGUCCCGCCCCUCAAGUGCCUCUCUGCCUGUGAGUUACCAGACUCUCUCUGUGCAGAAUUAAACAGAGGACGAGUCUGGAAGGCCAUGACAUCAUGACCCAGAACGUGACAUCAGGAAUUUUCCCUUCAGUUUCAUAAUUGUACUUCUUUUUGUGCUCAAUAAUGUUCUUUUCAGCCACGUUAACCCUUUACCAGUUCUUGUUGUUUACUUUCCUUCUUGCUGCCAUGAUGAAUGUAAUCGCUACGGUGACCCUAACAUCUCUCCACUGAGGGACAAUAAAGGGCUUUCUAUUCUGUUCCGUUAAUGCAUGCACUAAACUAAGGGGCUUGUACCAAUCAUUUAGUAUAAAAACCAUUACAGUUCAGAACAGCAGUUCAGUCAUGGAAAGUCCAACUUCCUCUGAAUUGUUUGACAUCUGAACGAUGUCUCUACUGUGAGGUCUACCUGAGCUUCAGAGCUCCAGCGGGGCAUCCUCACCUGGUUUGCCUAAAUCCCACUGAUGUCUGUAAGGGGCAAUUCUUGUAGACAGGAUUAAAUGCAUCUGAAAGCCAGAGCGUACAUUCCUGAGAAUCCAUAUUUGAUGUAUUUAUUGCUGUUAGAUUUGUACAGAGUUACGUAAUAAACCAGCUGAAUUGAAGACCAGUGGGCGGUGUCCACCACCGCCAUCUUGGCCGCAUCACUUGUCUCGUCACUAAGAGAAGAUACCCCAAAAAAAUGGAACUGCGAGCGGGGCUGUGAGGGUGGGGGCAGAUCAGGGGCGUCUCCAGCCUUUAAGGACCACCGGGGCUUAACCCAGACCACAAGAAACAACAACUUUAGUAAAAAACAAGAGUGCUGUGUAGAAACAUCAUUUAAGCACUGUAGUCAAGUCAAGCUUUAUUUAUAUAGCACAUUGAAAUGGCAACAGCGUUACCCAAAGUGCUGCACAACAGUAAUAAUAAAAAUUAAUAAAAGGAAAUUCAAUAGAUGACAAAGCAUCAUUAAAUAUUAAAACCCACAAGGAACUAAACACAGAAUAUGUAACGCCUGUUGAAGAUAAGGUAUCACAUAUAAAAAUUUAAAGACAAGAAAACCCUGGGUCACUAGAUUAUAAAAUAUCUAAAAUACCACAGAAUACAGAUGUGUUUUCAACGUGCUUCAGGAGUGGCCCAGUGAAUCAGCUGUCUUUACAUCCAGGGGCAGGCUGUUCCACGGCGAGGAGCCACCCUUGGUUUUGAGCCGACAUCUGCGUGUGGCGAACAGCUUUAGAUCAGCUGAUCUAAGCGCUCUGGACAGGACAUAUGGUUGAAUGAGGUCACAGGUAUGAUGGAGCCUGCCCGUGCAGACAUUUAAAAACCAGCAUCAAAAUUUUAAAUUCAGUCCUGAACUUGACAGGAAGCCAGUGGAGGUCAGCCAGUACCGGGGUGACAUGGUCAUUCUGUCUUGAUCAGAGGUGGAAAGUAACGAAUUACAUUUACUCACGUUACUGUAAUUGAGUAGCUUUUUUGUAUAUUUAUACUUUUUAAGUCGAUUUUAAAAGCUGUACUUUUACUUUUACACGAGUAAGUUUUUAAAAAAGAAUUGUAAUUCGCUACAUUUUAAAUAAUAUCCGUUACCGAGUAAAAACAAAUUGGCUUAAUAAAUUAAAAAUAUUGCGUGUAGCAGCGUCGGAAUAGAAAGAGGCACCUGCAUGAGCGCCGCGUCUAAACCGUGGGAGGUGUGGGUGUACACUUCUGCUCCAAAACAUCAGUUCAGUCCCUGUGAUCCACUCGCUGUUCACCUCCUCUCUCCCUCCUCUCCUGUGGGUUGGAACCCGCACCUUUGCGCACCGGUGUGACGUCAUCACAAUUCCACUCGGUUCGGUAACCGGACUCAGUUCCGUGUUUGAAAUGUGUUUCCCUACUGCUCCGCACGGAAGCGGCAAAAUAACGUUUAGCACUCAUAACAAGUGGAUUAUCAGCGCUCUGCUCAUAAAACAGAAGACCUGCAGUUCUCUUUGAGUUAAAACAUCCUGAUAUUGUUCAGGUGUAAACAUUGUGUUUGAACUCAGAAGAUGCUCUUUGAUGCCAGAUAUGUGAUGAUUUAGCUUGUUUCUUUAUUUUACUCCAGAAUAAGAGACUAAAUUAUUACUAAAGCAGUUCAAUGUAGUUAAAUUAGUCAUUCAAAUUAUUCUAAAAUGCUGCAGUGUGUGUGUGUGUGUGUGUGUGUGUGUGUGUGUGUGUGUGUGUGUGUGUGUGUGUGUGUGUGU
ensembl:lncRNA